GAUAUCUCAUGACAUUAUCAUCGAUGUUGUUUUCCUCAUGCCAUUGCAUGUCACAGGCAGUGUUGGGUAUAAAAUACCCCCAGCCGAAGUUCGUGAAAGGCCGACCCUCCCAGGGAUCUUCUGGCUUCUGAUCUUAUGCGGUGUCUUUCUGAACUCUUUGUCCGAGCUUCCAUAAUAGCAUCCGGACUUCUCCAAUAAUGAGCUCCUCCAUUCAUCUACCGGACUGCUCCAAACGCUCUCUGAGCUUCACUAUCAGUCGAUUUUCUACAGUGAUCGACUAUUCUCCGAAUCUUUUCCAGACUUCUUCCAGCCACGAUCGACUCUACUCCGAACUUCUAUUGCAAGCGGACUUCAUCCGAGCUCCUACAAGAGCCGGACUCCGUCCGAACUUUUACAGUGGACGGAUCACAAACGAACUUCUACAACGGAC
rnacentral:lncRNA from 1 species